UCACACAAUUUAUUCGACCAUCUCCUUUUGUUCAGGCAUUAGCGGAGGGGUCUCAGUCGUGGAAAAAGCGCCAAGUUCUACAGCUGAAGACGCGGUUGUCAACUUUGUGUAUAUUCAAAACGAAACUGCGUACUUGGGAUUGUAUUUUGCGAAAAUGUAACGUGUGCAUAAUAAGAUUCCUUAGUGAAUAGUUAAAAUGCCUGGACUGCAUAGUGAAGGUGGAGUGGUGGCUGCAGUUGGCAGUCAUGUGAAGAAGAGGAAACUCUCUCUAAAGUUCUUUCAGAAGAAGGACACCAAACGAGCCCUGGACUUCUCAGAGGCCCCGGCAGAAGACAACGGCACUGCAGAACCAGAAGAGACUACUAAUCAUGACCAGGUUGUGCCAAUGCCUUGCCCUUCAUCUCCUCUCACUUGUGAGAAGCGUGAGAGCCUGGUCCCCUUCGUUGGGCUUAAUAAUUUGGGGAACACUUGCUAUCUGAACAGCAUCCUUCAGGUAUACUGUUCA